rnacentral:rRNA from 1 species
GGUCCGAACCCACGAGCGUUGAAAAGCUCGGGGAUGACUUGUGGGUAGCGGUGAAAUUCCAAUCGAGCCCGGAGAUAGCUGGUUCUCCCCGAAAUAGCUUUAGGGCUAGCCUCAAGGUGAGAGAUACGGAGGUAGAGCACUGAAUGUCCUAGGGGGUAUUGCACCUACCGAAGACUAUCAAACUCCGAAUGCCGUCAUCUUAUACUUGGGAGUCAGACUGUGGGUGAUAAGAUUCAUAGUCGAAAGGGCAACAGCCCAGAUCGUCAGCUAAGGUCCCUAAAUGUAAGUUCAGUGGUAAAGGAUGUGGGAUUGCACAGACAACCAGGAUGUUGGCUUAGAAGCAGCCACUCAUUCAAAGAGUGCGUAAUAGCUCACUGGUCGAGUGAUCCUGCGCCGAAGAUUUCCGGGGCUAAAACUUACUACCGAAGCUACGGCAUCAGUAAUGAUGGGUAGGGGAGCUUCCCAUACGGGUUGAAGCAUGACCGUAAGGACAUGUGGACAGUAUGGGAGUGAGAAUGUUGGCAUGAGUAGCGAGAUGUGGGUGAGAAUCCCACAGGCCGUAAACCCAAGGUUUCCAGGGGAAGGUUCGUCCGCCCGGGGUUAGUCGGGACCUAAGCUGAGGCCGAAAGGCGUAGGUGAUGGACAACAGGUUGAUAUUCCUGUACUACCGAUAACCGUUUGAGAGAAGGGAUGACACAGUAGGAUAAGCUAAGCACACUGUUGGUUAUGUGUGCCCAAGCAUUGAGGCAGUCAAAGUAGGCAAAUCCGCUUUGAUAAUGCUGGGAUGUGAUGGGGAGCGAAAUUUAGUAGCGAA